rnacentral:lncRNA from 1 species
UGUAUAUAUAUGCUGUUUUCCUGUGCAGAGUAACAAAAUUAUUUGCUUCUUUUGCACCAUAACAGAUCUUCACAGUAACUGUCACAUACCUCUGGUGCUUAUGAAUUAUUGGCCUCCUACUUGUGAAAGAAAUCUAACACUGUCCUCACCAGUUACAGAAAAAAAAGGGACUGAACUGAGAGUGGGAAAAUAAUGAUAAUACUUCUUUCUUGCAAAAGAAAAAGGUAAGAUUUCGAGGACCAUAAUACUGCAGGUACUUAUUUAUGGCAUACUAAUAACUAUGAGGUA